GUGCUCGCUUCGGCAGCACAUACACUAAAAUUGGAACAAUACAGAGAAGAUUGGCGUGGCCCCUGCGCAAGGAUGACAUAUAAAUAAUAGUAAGAGGGGAAAGGGACUC